GGGUUGUGAGGUUAAGCGACUAAGCGUACACGGUGGAUGCCCUGGCAGUCAGAGGCGAUGAAGGACGUGCUAAUCUGCGAAAAGCGUCGGUAAGGUGAUAUGAACCGUUAUAACCGGCGAUGUCCGAAUGGGGAAACCCAGUGCAAUUCGUUGCACUAUCGUUAACUGAAUACAUAGGUUAACGAGGCGAACCGGGGGAACUGAAACAUCUAAGUACCCCGAGGAAAAGAAAUCAACCGAGAUUCCCCCAGUAGCGGCGAGCGAACGGGGAGCAGCCCAGAGUCUGAAUCAGCUUGUGUGUUAGUGGAACGGUCUGGAAAGUCCGACGGUACAGGGUGAUAGUCCCGUACACCAAAAUGCACAGGUUGUGAACUCGAAGAGUAGGGCGGGACACGUGGUAUCCUGUCUGAAUAUGGGGGGACCAUCCUCCAAGGCUAAAUACUCCUGACUGACCGAUAGUGAACCAGUACCGUGAGGGAAAGGCGAAAAGAACCCCGGCGAGGGGAGUGAAAAAGAACCUGAAACCGUGUACGUACAAGCAGUGGGAGCACCUUCGGGUGUGACUGCGUACCUUUUGUAUAAUGGGUCAGCGACUUAUAUUCUGUAGCAAGGUUAACCGUAUAGGGGAGCCGCAGGGAAACCGAGUCUUAACUGGGCGUUAAGUUGCAGGGUAUAGACCCGAAACCCGGUGAUCUAGCCAUGGGCAGGUUGAAGGUUGGGUAACACUAACUGGAGGACCGAACCGACUAAUGUUGAAAAAUUAGCGGAUGACUUGUGGCUGGGGGUGAAAGGCCAAUCAAACCGGGAGAUAGCUGGUUCUCCCCGAAAGCUAUUUAGGUAGCGCCUCGUGAAUUCAUCUUCGGGGGUAGAGCACUGUUUCGGCUAGGGGGUCAUCCCGACUUACCAACCCGAUGCAAACUACGAAUACCGAAGAAUGUUAUCACGGGAGACACACGGCGGGUGCUAACGUCCGUCGUGAAGAGGGAAACAACCCAGACCGCCAGCUAAGGUCCCAAAGUCAUGGUUAAGUGGGAAACGAUGUGGGAAGGCACAGACAGCCAGGAUGUUGGCUUAGAAGCAGCCAUCAUUUAAAGAAAGCGUAAUAGCUCACUGGUCGAGUCGGCCUGCGCGGAAGAUGUAACGGGGCUAAACCAUGCACCGAAGCUGCGGCAGCGACACUAUGUGUUGUUGGGUAGGGGAGCGUUCUGUAAGCCUGCGAAGGUGACCUGUGAGGGUUGCUGGAGGUAUCAGAAGUGCGAAUGCUGACAUAAGUAACGAUAAAGCGGGUGAAAAGCCCGCUCGCCGGAAGACCAAGGGUUCCUGUCCAACGUUAAUCGGGGCAGGGUGAGUCGACCCCUAAGGCGAGGCCGAAAGGCGUAGUCGAUGGGAAACAGGUUAAUAUUCCUGUACUUGGUGUUACUGCGAAGGGGGGACGGAGAAGGCUAUGUUAGCCGGGCGACGGUUGUCCCGGUUUAAGCAUGUAGGCUGGUUAUCCAGGCAAAUCCGGAUAAUCAAGGCUGAGGUGUGAUGACGAGGCACUACGGUGCUGAAGUAACAAAUGCCCUGCUUCCAGGAAAAGCCUCUAAGCAUCAGGUAACAUCAAAUCGUACCCCAAACCGACACAGGUGGUCAGGUAGAGAAUACCAAGGCGCUUGAGAGAACUCGGGUGAAGGAACUAGGCAAAAUGGUGCCGUAACUUCGGGAGAAGGCACGCUGGUGUGUAGGUGAAGUCCCUGCGGAUGGAGCUGAGACCAGUCGAAGAUACCAGCUGGCUGCAACUGUUUAUUAAAAACACAGCACUGUGCAAACACGAAAGUGGACGUAUACGGUGUGACGCCUGCCCGGUGCCGGAAGGUUAAUUGAUGGGGUUAUCCGUAAGGAGAAGCUCUUGAUCGAAGCCCCGGUAAACGGCGGCCGUAACUAUAACGGUCCUAAGGUAGCGAAAUUCCUUGUCGGGUAAGUUCCGACCUGCACGAAUGGCGUAAUGAUGGCCAGGCUGUCUCCACCCGAGACUCAGUGAAAUUGAACUCGCUGUGAAGAUGCAGUGUACCCGCGGCAAGACGGAAAGACCCCGUGAACCUUUACUAUAGCUUGACACUGAACAUUGAGCCUUGAUGUGUAGGAUAGGUGGGAGGCUUUGAAGCGUGGACGCCAGUCUGCGUGGAGCCAACCUUGAAAUACCACCCUUUAAUGUUUGAUGUUCUAACGUUGGCCCCUUACCGGGGUUGCGGACAGUGUCUGGUGGGUAGUUUGACUGGGGCGGUCUCCUCCCAAAGCGUAACGGAGGAGCACGAAGGUUAGCUAAUCCUGGUCGGACAUCAGGAGGUUAGUGCAAUGGCAUAAGCUAGCUUGACUGCGAGCGUGACGGCGCGAGCAGGUGCGAAAGCAGGUCAUAGUGAUCCGGUGGUUCUGAAUGGAAGGGCCAUCGCUCAACGGAUAAAAGGUACUCCGGGGAUAACAGGCUGAUACCGCCCAAGAGUUCAUAUCGACGGCGGUGUUUGGCACCUCGAUGUCGGCUCAUCACAUCCUGGGGCUGAAGUAGGUCCCAAGGGUAUGGCUGUUCGCCAUUUAAAGUGGUACGCGAGCUGGGUUUAGAACGUCGUGAGACAGUUCGGUCCCUAUCUGCCGUGGGCGCUGGAGAAUUGAGGGGGGCUGCUCCUAGUACGAGAGGACCGGAGUGGACGCAUCACUGGUGUUCGGGUUGUCAUGCCAAUGGCACUGCCCGGUAGCUAAAUGCGGAAGAGAUAAGUGCUGAAAGCAUCUAAGCACGAAACUUGCCCCGAGAUGAGUUCUCCCUGAGACUUUAAGUCUCCUGAAGGAACGUUAAAGACGAUGACGUUGAUAGGCCGGGUGUGUAAGCGCAGCGAUGCGUUGAGCUAACCGGUACUAAUGAACCGUGAGGCUUAACCUUACAACGCCGAAG
rnacentral:rRNA from 1 species